rnacentral:rRNA from 1 species
UACGUAGGGGGCUAGCGUUGUCCGGAUUUAUUGGGCGUAAAGGGCUCGUAGGUGGUCAACUAAGUCGGACGUGAAAUCCCUCGGCUUAACCGGGGAACUGCGUCCGAUACUGGAUGACUUGAGUUCGGGAGAGGGAUGCGGAAUUCCAGGUGUAGCGGUGAAAUGCGUAGAUAUCUGGAGGAACACCGGUGGCGAAGGCGGCAUCCUGGACCGACACUGACGCUGAGGAGCGAAAGCCAGGGGAGCAAACGGG